UACGAAGGGUCCAAGCGUUAUCCGGAUUUAUUGGGUUUAAAGGGUGCGCAGGUGGGGCUUUAAGUCAGUGGUGAAAUCUCGUAGCUCAACUACGAAACCGCCAUUGAUACUGAAGUUCUUGAAUGUAGUUGACGUUAGUGGAAUGUGUCAUGUAGCGGUGAAAUGCUUAGAUAUGACACAGAACACCGAUCGCGAAGGCAGCUAACGAAGCUAUUAUUGACGCUCAGGCACGACAGCAUGGGGAGCAAACAGG
rnacentral:rRNA from 1 species